ACAUCACAGGCGACUGCCUUUGUAUAGCGGUGGUUGGCCGCACCUGUGUUGGGGAUUUUUCUUAUGUCCCGGUCACAGUGGAAGGGAUUCCCUGCACAGCCCUGAUUGACACUGGUUCCACAGUAACGCUAGUGAGGCCUGAUGUGGUGCCGGACCGGACUCGAGUUCGUUGACAUGUUUCUCCACGAAUUAAGAUCGGUGAUGAAUUAUCUAACUGCUUACCGAAGAUAUUUACCUCAAAUUGAGCCUGAACUAAUAAAUCCGGAAGCAAUUGAACUUACAAGAGAAACUAUAGCUCUUGUAACGAUUCUGUGUUUUAGUUCUGUUUGUUGUAAGUUGCAUUGUGACCCGUUUUGUUAUAUGUAGUGUUAAGCCUUCCCCUGUCUGACUCUGCUGGCUCCCACUCACAUGUGAUAGGUCUGUCAUGUGGGCGGGGGAUCGGUGGAGCGGGAGUUCCAGGACCGGAAGUGGAGAGAGUUCAGAGGGGAGUUAGCAGUGAAGCUAUCGGGGAGCGUGCUAGUUCUGUUAGAGGCGUGAGCUGCAGCCUCCGAAAUAGCAGCUCAUACUCUAUUCUAAUAAACCCUGUUUGGCGGGACUACAUCUGCGGUGUUGGCAUUAUUACACUAUAAUAGAUCAGGAAUUGUUUUUAGGUAGCCGAAUAAUAGCCGAAUGUCCUAGAAAUCGGGGAGAUUUUUCAGAAGUUCAGGUCCCAGGUUUGUUUCUCAGACUUUCACAUAUUAGUGGAGCGUAUCAUGGGAUAAUUUACCUGGAAAGAACUCAGGAUCAAGCCUGCUUCAGGAUUGAAGACACCUGGCACCUAAUCACCUGAGUGGGUGGGAGCAUAAAGGCAGACUCCCUAGCCUUCUCUCUUCAUGCCUGCAUUUGGUCACAUUUCAGUUGAAUGUCUGCUUGGUUAAUUUGCAGUGGUCAAACUCAAAAUCCGAAAUAGUAAGUAAUGUUUCUCUUUCUGUACAAGAUCUCAAUUUGAGUUGGCUAAUUCAAGUUGUUUAAAUUCAGAAGCUGCCUGAAGCCUCCUGACUAUACUGGGAUGUGGCAGUAAUUUACCCUUCCCAGUGCUACUUGGCAACAUAAAAAGGCUUGUAUUGACAAGUGGAUCCUCCUGCUGUGGGGCCGGAAGGGGCUCUCUGGUUGAGGUGGAGUCAUCCAGCUCUGGCUGGGAGCUGAAGGCAGUGGGGGGGCAUCCAGAGGGACUGGACCAGUGUGCUGUGCGAGUGACCGGUGUUGGGAUUUCUUCACGGAUUGAGUGUUUAUUCACAAGUGCUUGGGGUGAUUUAUUUUGAUUUAUUAAUUUGUUUAUGCCCAGUUCCCACAUUUGGAUUGCCCUCCCCCCUGCUGGUAGAUCCCAGCACUGCACUCCC